rnacentral:rRNA from 1 species
AGCCCGCUUACCAUGCAGUCGAGGGGCAGCAUUUUAGUUUGCUUGCAAACUAAAGAUGGCGACCGGCGCACNGGNUGAGUAACACGCUAUCCAACCUGCCGAUAACUCGGGGAUAGCCUUUCGAAAGAAAGAUUAAUAUCCGAUAGUAUAUUAAAACCGCAUGGUUUUACUAUUAAAGAAUUUCGGUUAUCGAUGGGGAUGCGUUCCAUUAGUUUGUUGGCGGGGUAACGGCCCACCAAGACUACGAUGGAUAGGGGUUCUGAGAGGAAGGUCCCCCACAUUGGAACUGAGACACGGUCCAAACUCAUACGGGAGGCAGCAGUGAGGAAUAUUGGUCAAUGGACGAGAGUCUGAACCAGCCAAGUAGCGUGAAGGAUGACUGCCCUAUGGGUUGUAAAAUUUCUUUUAUAUGGGAAUAAAGUAUUCCACGUGUGGGANUUUUGUAUGUACCCAUAUGAAUAAGGAUUCGGCUAACUCCGUGCCAGCAGCCGCGGUUAAUACGGAGGAUCCCGAGCGUUAUCCGGAAUUUUAUUGGGUUUUAAAGGGAGCGUAGGUGGAUUGUUAAGUCAGUUGUGAAAGUUUGCGGCUCAACCGUAAAAUUGCAGUUGAAACUGGCAGUCUUGAGUACAGUAGAGGUGGGCGGAAUUCGUGGUGUAGCGGUGAAAUGCUUUAGAUAUCACGAAGAACUCCGAUUGCGAAGGCAGCUCACUAGACUGCAACUGACACUGAUGCUCGAAAGUGUGGGUAUCAAACAGGAUUAGAUACCCUGGUAGUCCACACAGUAAACGAUGAAUACUCGCUGUUUGCGAUAUACAGUAAGCGGCCAAGCGAAAGCAUUAAGUAUUCCACCUGGGGAGUACGCCGGCAACGGUGAAACUCAAAGGAAUUGACGGGGGCCCGCACAAGCGGAGGAACAUGUGGGUUUAAUUCGAUGAUACGCGAGGAACCUUACCCGGGCUUAAAUGGCAUUUGAAUAAUCUGGAAACAGGUUAGCCCCAAGGCAAAUGUGAAAGGUGCUGCAUGGUUGUCGUCAGCUCGUGCCGGGAGGUGUCGGCUUAAGUGCCAUAACGAGCGCAACCCUUAUCUUUAGUUACUAACAGGUCAUGCUGAGGACUCUAGAGAGACUGCCGUCGUAAGAUGUGAGGAAGGUGGGGAUGACGUCAAAUCAGCACGGCCCUUACGUCCGGGGCUACACACGUGUUACAAUGGGGGGUACAGAAGGCAGCUACCUGGCGACAGGAUGCUAAUCCCAAAAACCUCUCUCAGUUCGGAUCGAAGUCUGCAACCCGACUUCGUGAAGCUGGAUUCGCUAGUAAUCGCGCAUCAGCCAUGGCGCGGUGAAUACGUUCCCGGGCCUUGUCCCCUAAAAANCGUCAAGCCAUGAAAGCCGGGGGUAACCUGAAGUACGUAACCGCAAGGAGCUCCCUAGGG